AUUGAACGCUGGCGGCAUGCUUUACACAUGCAAGUCGAACGGUAACAGGCCGCAAGGUGCUGACGAGUGGCGAACGGGUGAGUAAUGCAUCGGAACGUGCCCAGCCGUGGGGGAUAACUACUCGAAAGAGUAGCUAAUACCGCAUACGAUCUAUGGAUGAAAGCGGGGGACCGGAAGGCCUCGCGCGAUUGGAGCGGCCGAUGUCCGAUUAGGUAGUUGGUGGGGUAAAGGGCCACCAAGCCGACGAGCUGUACCUGGUCGGAGAGAGCGACGAGCGACAUUGGAACUGGACCGCGGCCCAGACGACUAAGGGAGGCAGCAGUGGGGAAUUUUGGACAAUGGGCGCAAGCCUGAUCCAGCAAUGCCGCGUGCAGGAAGAAGGCCUUCGGGUUGUAAUCUGCGUUUGUACGGAACGAAACGGCUCUGGUUAAUACCCGGGGCUAAUGACGGUACCGUAAGAAUAAGCACCGGCUAACUACGUG
rnacentral:rRNA from 1 species